rnacentral:rRNA from 1 species
AUGCAAAACAACGCACACGUCAGUCUCACACAAAACUGCACACUGAACUCCAUGAUGAGUGUGUAUGACUUUUUCUGUCUUUUUCUUCAACCGGCAAACCAAAAGGCACAAACCAUCUUCGUUUUGCCUACCGGUGCUAUCGCACUGCACCUGAUGCACGCACCGCACUACAUAGAGAAAAGGAUGCUAAAAAUGGGUGGUCAGGAGGAUGUGGUGGUUUGCAGGGGCAAAACUGGUGGCCGCCGGCGUUGGGGGUGGAGCCCGUGGCCCCCCAUCAGUGUUCGGAGGAGUGGAGCGAACUGCACACGCCGGUUUGGUCGAGCUGCACGCUACCGGGGGCAGUAUUGCACCCCCCUGUGCACCUCGCCGCCGUUGUUGGAGGGGGGAAGGAAGGACGCCGCCGUCGUAGGAUGGAGUCCAGGUGGUCGACGACGUGGUCUCCGUGGUGCUCACGGGAGGGGAGGUGAUGGUCGCCCGCAGCCACAUUACGACAGGAAGACGCGUGGGGAUCCAGCCUCCUUGGGCACACGCGGGGCCGCCGCCCACUCCCAGCCCGAGAUCCGAUCUCCACAGGUGGUAGGUGAGCCGCCGGCCAUCCAGCACAACAGAGCUGGUGCGGCCAGAGGUUGGAGGGCGGCGCCGAUCAGGAGGGAAGGGGGCGCCGGAGGAUGA